GAUGAACGCUGGCGGCGUGCCUAAUACAUGCAAGUCGAGCGAAUGGAUUAAGAGCUUGCUCUUAUGAAGUUAGCGGCGGACGGGUGAGUAACACGUGGGUAACCUGCCCAUAAGACUGGGAUAACUCCGGGAAACCGGGGCUAAUACCGGAUAACAUUUCGAACCGCAUGGUUCGAAAUUGAAAGGCGGCUUCGGCUGUCACUUAUGGAUGGACCCGCGUCGCAUUAGCUAGUUGGUGAGGUAACGGCUCACCAAGGCAACGAUGCGUAGCCGACCUGAGAGGGGGGUCGGCCACACUGGGACUGGGACACGGCCCAGACUCCUACGGGAGGCGGCAGUAGGGAAUCUUCCGCAAUGGACGAAAGUCUGACGGAGCAACGCCGCGUGAGUGAUGAAGGCUUUCGGGUCGUAAAACUCUGUUGUUAGGGAAGAACAAGUGCUAGUUGAAUAAGCUGGCACCUUGACGGUACCUAACCAGAAAGCCACGGCUAACUACGUGCCAGCCGCCGCAGUAA
rnacentral:rRNA from 1 species